rnacentral:rRNA from 1 species
GACGAACGCUGGCGGCGUGCUUAACACAUGCAAGUCGAACGGAAAGGCCCUGCUUUUGUGGGGUGCUCGAGUGGCGAACGGGUGAGUAACACGUGAGUAACCUGCCCUUGACUUUGGGAUAACUUCAGGAAACUGGGGCUAAUACCGGAUAGGAGCUCCUGCUGCAUGGUGGGGGGUGGAAAGUUUCGGCGGUUGGGGAUGGACUCGCGGCUUAUCAGCUUGUUGGUGGGGUAGUGGCUGACCAAGGCUUUGACGGGUAGCCGGCCUGGGAGGGUGACCGGCCACAUUGGGACUGAGAGACGGCGCAGACUCCUACGGUAGGCAGCGGUGGGGAGUAUUACACAAUGGGCGCAAGCCUGAUGCAGCGGCGCCGCGUGCGGGAUGACGGCCUUCGGGUUGUAAACCGCUUUCGCCUGUGACGAAGCGUGAGUGACGGUAAUGAGUAAAGAAGCACCGGCUAACUACGUG